UACAGAGGGUGCGAGCGUUGUCCGGAAUCACUGGGCGUAAAGCGCACGUAGGCGGCUUUCUAAGUCAGGGGUGAAAUCCCGGAGCUCAACUCCGGAACUGCCUUUGAUACUGGAGAGCUUGAGUUCGGGAGAGGUGAGUGGAACUGCGAGUGUAGAGGUGAAAUUCGUAGAUAUUCGCAAGAACACCAGUGGCGAAGGCGGCUCACUGGCCCGAUACUGACGCUGAGGUGCGAAAGCGUGGGGAGCAAACAGG
rnacentral:rRNA from 1 species